UAUCCGCUGUCAAGAUUUGAAGAUCGUAAACGAAGAAGACUUGUAUUAUGACUGUCUCUCGGAUCCGUCACAGUCUUGUGUAAGACAGCUGUUUGUGACAUCGAAUCCUUAGUUAACAAGACAACACUAUGGCAUCUACUUGCGCUGAAAAUGUCCAUGGUCAGUGCUGGAUUGAGGGAUGAUCUUCUCCAGCAACUGUGAUCGGCAUGGCAACACUGCUGUUAGCAUCACUAGCUGAGUAAAAUCACCGAUGUUUUCAGGGGGCAAUGCAUGUUUUCCUGUUGUCAGAAAUGAAUCUUCAGGGCAUCAAAAAAUACACUGUUCACAGAUAAAUCACAGCAAGCCUAACAGACAAGAUCUACAAGCACUCCCCACCCAGACUGACUACCUUAGAGGUGGUUUUGGCCUUGUCCCGUGCAUUUUUGGCAAUAACAGGGAAACUAGCAUGUCACAGAAGGCAACUGGCAUCAGGCAAGUGACUAUCAACACACAUGGGGACCAGCAGCAAGCCCUCUUCCCGACCGUGAUGCCCGUGGAGUAUUUUGGUCCUCCCAACUAUGCUACCUUCAAGGCCCAACUUACACAAAGCAGCUAUGGAAGAAGUGGAGCCAGCCAAGCGGGAGCUUCGGAAUGUGAGAAGUCAGUGGAGAAUCAGCACAGUCAGGCAGUGGUCAAUAAAACAGUUCAGUGUGAUAUCUGUGGAGACGUCAUAAAAGACUUGUAUGAAUUUAGAACUAUAAAGUGUGAUGCUUGCAAGAAGAUGUCCACCCACACAAAUGCUGACCUCACUCGACCCCACAAUAAAGUGUACCCUUGCGACAUGUGUGACAAGACUUAUGUGUCUCAAACAACCUUGAAAACUCACAUGAGAGUCCACAGCGGAGAGAAGUCGUUCAGCUGCCCUUUCUGUGACAAGAUGUUUCUGUACGAAGGGAAUAUGAAGACGCAUGUGAGAACCCACACGGGGGAGAAACCGUUUAACUGUGAGGUGUGUGGGAAGAGUUUCUCACAGUCCGGAACAUUGAAGAAACAUCUUAGAAUGCAUUCUGGAGAGAAACCCUUUAAGUGUGAGUUUUGUGACAAGACAUUUGCAUAUUCUGAAAAUCUUAUCCCACAUCGACGUGUCCAUUCCCGUGAAAGACCAUUCCAGUGUCAUUUGUGUGAGAAAGUGUUUUCUCAACCAGGAUCCCUUAAAACCCAUUUGAAAUCACAGCAUGGUAGUGAUAAUGGUUUACCAAACACGAAACCGAUGACAAAUGGGAUUAAGAGUGAAUAUUUCAAGGCUCCUGUUUUGGAUGGAGAUGAGGAAAUAAAUUUGAUUUAGUUAGAUCUUUGUAACACUGUCCCACAUUAAUAGAACUUCUUGACUUUUGAUGAGGCUGUCUUCACAGCAUGUUGCUCAUGUUAAACACAAACUCAAAUGAGCAUCAAUUCACCGUGGUAUCUCACCAAUGUCUUAGUCCAAUGAUGGAUUUCAAACCACAGACCUUGUGAUCCGAGGUCUGAUGCCAUGUGCACAUGAAAAGAACAAGUUUAGCAUACCAGCAAAGAUGAUCAUGUCAUUGAUAACAUGACUCUAUGUCUGCUGCAUACUCCUGUCACUGAAGGUGGGUAGGGUACUGAGACGUAUUUUACUCAAUCAAACUUAAAUCUGCUCAGACCCAAAGGCACCGGUGUAGCAGCAAAAACAAUCCUGUAAUGGGAUUCAAACUAUGUACCUUCAGAUUUUAGGUCAGACACGUUUUUCUCAUGACCAAAAUGGUCAGCAAGGUGACAAGAUAAUGGUAUCAUCGGUGGGAUGCCCACACCAAGCUGCAUUUAGAUUGGCAAAUGUUUCAUCGAUUUUGAGUGAGUGAGUAUGGUUUUACGCUGCUUUAGCAAUAUUCCAGCAAUAUCACGGCGUGGGACACCAGCAGUGGAUAAUUGAUUUUGAAGCCUCCUUACUAUUACCAUGCUGUGAUGGUUUAAGUGUGUAAGUUUCAGUUACCAAUAAAGCAGGUGGUCUCUCUGUGUAAUUUUCAGUUACCAGUAAAACAGAUGGUCUAUAUGUGUAAGAUGCAGUUACCAGUAAAACAGAUGGUCUCAGUGUGUAAGUUUGAGUUACCAAUAAAACAGAUGGUCUCAGUGUGUAAGUUUCAGGUACCAAUAAAACAGAUGGUCUCAGUGUGUAAGUUUCAGGUACCAAUAAAACAGAUGGUCUCAGUGUGUAAGUUUCAGUUACCAGUAAGACAGAUGGUCUCAGUGUGUAAGUUUCAGUUGCCAAUAAAACUUAUGGUCUAGGUGUGUACGUUUUAGUUACCAGUAAAACAGAUGGUCUAGCUUUGUAAGUUUCAGUUACCAGUAAAACUGAUGGUCUCAGUGUGUACGUUUCUGUUGCCAAUGAAACAGAUGGUCUAAGUGUGUAAGUUGCAGUUACCAGUAAAACAGAUGGUCUAAAUGUGUAAGUUGCAGUUACCAAUAAAACAGAUGGUAUCAGUGUGUAAGUUUGAGUUACCAGUAAAACAAAUGGUCUCUGUGUGUAAGUACCUGUGAAGGUCCGGGUUAGAAUGAACCUUCACUAACCCAUGCUUGUCGUAUGAGGCGACUGACGGGAUCCGGUGGUCAGGCUUGCUGGGUUGAUUGACACAUGUCAUCGGUUCCCAAUUGCGCAGGUCGAUGCUCAUGAUGUUGAUCACUGGAUUGUAAGUUGAUUCAGUUUCAGGCUCUUCACACCAAAGACCCGAGAACAAUUCCCCACAUUGGUACAAUAUGUAAAGCCCAUUUCUGGUGUCCCCUGCUGCGACAUUGCAGGAAUGCUGAUAAGCUGCAUUAAACUUUACUCACUCACUCACUGUUUUUCUGCGAUGCAUUCAUAUGCUUUCCAUAGCUGUUUUGCGUUUUAAACCCAAUGCGGUGUAAAACCAUACUAACUCACUCACUCAAUCUUCUGUUACAUUUUCUCUGUGGGCUCCUGUACCCGUGGUCCUCUGUUGAAGCAUCAAACAAACAGACACAUAGAGUAGAUGGAGUGUAUCGUACAGCAAGAGCGGAACCAUUUGACCAAAAGAAUAUUUAGAUGUUAUUGUGCCACGUUGGCACCCCUGAAUUUUUGUUGUUGUAAUGUUGUUUUAUUUGUGAAAGCUUGUGAAGUAGGUAAUGAAAAACUGUGGCCUUGAUUUAAAUCUCUUCUGUGGGCCAACUUGAUCAUCAGUAGUAUGAAUCUCAUGGAAAUGUUAUCUGUGAACAAUGUUUUGUGUCUGUUCAUCCCGUUUGUUAUCCACUGAUUCUAUGAUUCUGUAUCCUAGACAUAUAUAAUUCUUAGUCUAUCUAUGAAUUAAAACAUCUGUCCAGAAUUGA